rnacentral:tRNA from 1 species
GGCAGUGUGGUUUAGUGGAAAGAGCACUGGACUGGGAAUCAAGAGACCUGAGAUUUAGUCCUGGCUCUUCCA